GCACUGCUGACGAGUUCAAAACGGGACGAAAUAGCUGUCCAGUGC
rnacentral:hammerhead_ribozyme from 1 species